CUCUGGCUCAAAUGCCCCGAAAGCGUGGGCUCACGCGUAGAACAGCUCUAUCUCACUCUCUCGUCUCUCUUUUCUCAGUGUUAGCUCGCUCGCCUCUCUCCUCUUUUGUUAGUGUUAAAUCGAAGCUCUCAAACUCUCUCUCUAUUGCCCUGUUUGUCAUCAUCUCCGAAUCAUUCGAGUCUAUCUCCUCCGAGACGACGCCAGAAAGUUGUUGUUCUGUCACCUCCUCUCUCCUCCCAAACGACACCGAAAAGUUGUAUUGUGGAAAAGACUGUCAUCGUGCUCAGUGGUCAGCGGGAUACUCCUCUCACAAGUUCACGCUCACACCCGAUUUCCCACUGUCGGAUUACCGACCAAUUUCUUUCGAAUCUCAAACUCAAAACUCGGGUUUUGUAUUUUGCCCCAAUAAUUUCAAUUAACCUUUCUAUCACAAAACUAGAUGAUGAUGAUGGGGACGUUACCUCCACAAUCUAUUCCAAUACUGGACCUCGUAAAGCUAUUCGAGCAGAAGAAUUGAAUGAUGUAAGGACAAGGCUUUUUGAGAUGGAAAAUGAAAUUCGUGACCAUGGUAAAAGGCUUCAAAGGAUGGACAAGAAUUUCAAGGCUAUGAUUUUUGUGAUUGUAGUAUGUAUCAUUUUGUACUUCAUUAUGUAAGACACUUGACUGUUAGUUUUUGGGAAAUUUGAUGAAUGUAAUUAUGGAUGUAAUGGACAUGUUGGAUGUUAGGAAUUUAAUUGAAUGUGGUGUUGUAGGAAUUUCUUAAGGAAUUUGGUCCUUCCCUAAUUAAA